GCCCGGCUAGCUCAAUCGGUAGAGCGCAAGACUCUUAUUCAGAUCCAUCUUGAGGCUGUGGGUUCGACCCCCACGUCGGGCU